rnacentral:sRNA from 1 species
CAAUGAUAUCCGUUCCUUGCGGAACGGGUGAUAUAUCUUCGAUAUGAUAUCGCACUGUCGUGCGAUGAUAUAUGCC